UGGCUCUCGCAUCGAUGAAGAACGCAGCGAAAUGCGAUAAGUAAUGUGAAUUGCAGAAUUCAGUGAAUCAUCGAAUCUUUGAACGCACCUUGCGCUCCUUGGUAUUCCGAGGAGCAUGCCUGUUUGAGUGUCGCUAAAUCAUCAACUCUCCCUUUUACUCUUGUGAAGGUGGUGAGAUUGGAUUUGGGGAUUGCUGGCUUCAAUAGUUAGCUUCCCUGGAAUACAUUAGCUGGAUCUUUGAUUUGCAGCAUAUAUGUGGUGUGAUAAUGUCUUCACUGUGUAGCUCAAGUCAUCUGGCUUCUAAUUGUCUUUGCGGACAACUUUUGAUCUUCCAGACCUCAAAUCAGGUAGGACUACCCGCUGA
rnacentral:misc_RNA from 1 species